AACGCGAAGAACCUUACCUGGGUUUGACAUGCACAGGACGACGGCAGAGAUGUCGUUUCCCUUGUGGCCUGUGUGCAGGUGGUGCAUGGCUGUCGUCAGCUCGUGUCGUGAGAUGUUGGGUUAAGUCCCGCAACGAGCGCAACCCUUAUUUCAUGUUGCCAGCGCGUAAUGGCGGGGACUCGUGAGAGACUGCCGGGGUCAACUCGGAGGAAGGUGGGGAUGACGUCAAGUCAUCAUGCCCCUUAUGUCCAGGGCUUCACACAUGCUACAAUGGCCGGUACAAAGGGCUGCGAUGCCGCGAGGCUUAGCGAAUCCUUUAAAGCCGGUCUCAGUUCGGAUCGGGGUCUGCAACUCGACCCCGUGAAGUCGGAGUCGCUAGUAAUCGCAGAUCAGCAACGCUGCGGUGAAUACGUUCCCGGGCCUUGUACACACCGACAUA
rnacentral:rRNA from 1 species